rnacentral:lncRNA from 1 species
AGGGGGGAGGCGCGGCGGGCGGGAGAGACUUGCACGGUUCUCAUGGCAACGGGGACGGAUCUGCAAAACAGCCUCGGCGCCGGCGGAAAAGUCCGAGAAGAGCAAGAUCUGAGUCCCAAGCGGCAUCCGGGAAGCUGAGCCGAGCGCCUCAAGAACCGGAUCGCACGCCUUGCAAACGCAGAACCCGUAGAAACCCCCCACCCCCAUCCCGCACCCUUGCAAGGGAGGGGCAUGAGGAGAAAAGGAUUUUUUUUUUUUUUUUAAACAGGGGGAGGGUGGAUCUGAGAGAUCUGGAGGAAGAAUAUUCGGAUUGCAGUGGCGGCAAGUGCAAAGGCCCUGAGGCGGGCACACGGUUAAAGUGCUGGAGGCAGAGCGAGGAGGGCAGCGUGACGAGCCGGCAAGAAAGGAGCAGAGGAGCCGGGCCAUUCCCGGUUACAGAAUGGGAAGACUGAGGCUCAGAAAAGCAUAGGCAGAUACACGGGACGCCCAGAGGCAGCACCUCACUGGCUGGAGCGCCCUCAGCUCCCCGUCCGGAUCUAGAACACUCUGGGAAAUUGGAGGCAUUUUGUGGAGAUCUCAAGAGCAAGGAAGGGAGGAAUCGGGGAGGGAGAAACCUAUAGCAGCUGCAGAGAAAGUUCUGCAGGUAAAACUGAAGCUCAGAGCCAGGAAGCAACUUGCCCGGGACACACAGUAGAGAGUGGAGGCACUGGGUCCCACUUUGGCGUCCCCUGGCAACGCCCCUCCGUCACCUCCUCUUUGAAGCUCCCCCUCUUUUCCUGUGGUGGAGGCGUUUCCAUGGCAACCCAAAGGCCCAGGAUUCCCAGGCAGUACAAGGAGAAUGCUGGGGACGCUGGGCUCUAGACAGGAAGGACCCUGCCGAAGACUCAGGUUCGGUGCACGGGGCUGAUACACUAGAGAGGCUUUUCUUCCCUUUUGAGGGGCUUCCCUGGUGGCUCAGCUGGUAGAGAAUCCACCUGCAAUGCGGAGACCGGGGUUGGAUCCCUGGGUUGGGAAGAUCCCCUGGAGAAGGGAACUCCAGUACUCUGGCCUGGAGAAUUCCACGGACUGUACAGUCCAUGGGGUGGCAAAGAGUCGGAUACGACUGAGUGACUUUCAUUGUCACUUCACUUUUCUCUGCUGAAUAACAGGAGUAGAUGCUUGCUAAGUACCAGAAACUGGUCACUUCUGUUCAUACUACUGUUGCAAGCACGCAGCUCAUUUUCCCACCCCGAAGCCUCAGCAGGGUUUGUGCCCCCCGCCUCCCACACCCUGCCCAGCCCUUCCCCUAGCCGGCCUCUCCUCGUCCUUCCGGUCUCAGAGAGGCCCUCCAGCCAUCUGGGGCACAUUGCUGUGUUGGAUUUCCCGAAAAUCAUGGUUUUGCGCGUUGAUUGCCCAUGUUCCCAGUAGUCCAUGAGUUCUAGGAGGGCAGAGAAUUCGAUGAUUUUGUUCAGUGCUGUGUCCCUAGCACUUAGAACAAGUCUUGGCAUACAGGAGGUGUUUGAUAAAUACCUGUUGCUGAACCAGUGAGUUAAAAAUUACCAGUGUCCCCUCUGCCGGGAGUGGGGAGCAACACAGAUCGUCACCAAAGGGCGACCUAGACCAUCGUGACCUUGCCCCACCCUUCCCGUUUUGGUCGAGGUGGAGUCUGGGGAUCAGAGUGGGAGGGACCAGGACAUCCCUGGUGGUACAGUGGAUAAGAACCCGCCAGCCCAUGCAAGGGACACUGGGGAUCCCUGAUCUGGGAAGAUUCUGCAUGUCUCAAGCAAGUAAAGCCCGAGGGCCAUAACCACUCUAGAGCCCAGGAGCCACAACUUAAUAAGCCUCUGUGCUGUAAUUACUGAAGCCCCCCCCCUCCUCCCCCAGGGUCCACAUGCUGCUACUACUGAAGCCCAUGUGCCUAGAGCCUGUGCUCCGCAACAAGAGAAGCCUAUGCACCACAAGGAAGAGUAACUCUUGCGCCCAGCAACUAGAGAAAGACCUGGUGCAGCAAGGAAGACCCAGCAAAGCCAAAAAUAAAUAAAUUUUUAAAAGAAAAAAUAAAAAAGUG